CCUGGCUCUCUCCUCCUUCCUCUUCCGCUAUCUUUCCAUGCAUGGCCACCACCGCCUCCCUCUACUGUCUCUCCCUGAUUAACGACCUCCUCCCUCUCGCCGGCACCAUCACCUCUGCCUGCAAGCUCGCUCCCUCUCUCUCUCUCUCAGAUCUCAGAAGAUUGAAAGAAGAGGAACAAUCCUUCUCUCAAUCCGCCAUGAUCCACAUACCAGAGAGACCGCCAGCGAAGCGGCCAGAUUCUGAUCAGGUCCGACCAUGGAGCAGCUGGAGGGGGAAGCGUUCGAAGAUAUAGAAUUAGAAAGCAUCCCUGACCUUGAGCCUAAACGCACCGUUUCGUCAUCUUUGAAAUCUCAGACUCUCAGUUUUCGAAGUUGAAACUUCUAUUCAAAAUGUCCAGCGAUUCAAAUCUGUCGAAGCUUCACCGUCUGAUCGACGAUUCUCUCCGUCCUUACCCAGAACCAGAUGUUGUUUGGGUGACCAAAGAGAGAGAAAUUUGGGUUAGUCUCUCUCAGGUACUUCGGCAAGUAAAGCUUUGUAUUGGAGAAGUUGAUUCCGAUUAUGAUAAUAUUUGAGCGUGAGGUCCAAUUGAUGAAAAAUCUCUUGGAAGGCUAUAGGAAAGCUUUAAAGGCAACACAAAAGACAUUUGCUGAACAUAGAGCUCAUUGUCCACAGGCUGUUAAGCCACUCUGCAGGGAUAGAUGUUUCGGGAUCGGGGGGCCUUGUUUUAAGCACCACAGAAUUGGAAAAGCUACUCCUAAAGCAAGAAGAAGAAGAGAGGAUGAACAAGACUGGUGAUUGAAACGAUGAUUAAGGACUUUGAAGCUGGGUGGAUUAGCGAAUAUAAAACACACCAAAAGAGUGUUGAAUUAGCUAGUAGCAGGUUGAUGGAUGUUGAGAAGGAAGUGAAACUUCUCAAGGAAGGGCUUUUAAAACAGAGGCUUCCAGAAACACAAGAAUCUCCAAAUGAAUCAUGAGAUGCUUGGUAUGUGGAUUAAAGGGUCCAAGACCCAGAUACCCAAGAGCCUGGAAAGCCAAUAAGGAGAUUGGGACCAUUUCGAAAUCCCUCAAGCUUGUUGAGUGUGUAAGUUUCUCUUUUCUUUUUUUG